rnacentral:rRNA from 1 species
GGGUUGUGAGGUUAAGCGACUAAGCGUACACGGUGGAUGCCCUGGCAGUCAGAGGCGAUGAAGGACGUGCUAAUCUGCGAAAAGCGUCGGUAAGGUGAUAUGAACCGUUAUAGCCGGCGAUGUCCGAAUGGGGAAACCCAGUGUGAUUCGUCACACUAUCGUUAACUGAAUACAUAGGUUAACGAGGCGAACCGGGGGAACUGAAACAUCUAAGUACCCCGAGGAAAAGAAAUCAACCGAGAUUCCCCCAGUAGCGGCGAGCGAACGGGGAGCAGCCCAGAGUCUGAAUCAGCUUGUGUGUUAGUGGAACGGUCUGGAAAGUCCGACGGUACAGGGUGAUAGUCCCGUACACCAAAAUGCACAGGCUGUGAACUCGAAGAGUAGGGCGGGACACGUGGUAUCCUGUCUGAAUAUGGGGGGACCAUCCUCCAAGGCUAAAUACUCCUGACUGACCGAUAGUGAACCAGUACCGUGAGGGAAAGGCGAAAAGAACCCCGGCGAGGGGAGUGAAAAAGAACCUGAAACCGUGUACGUACAAGCAGUGGGAGCACCUUCGGGUGUGACUGCGUACCUUUUGUAUAAUGGGUCAGCGACUUAUAUUCUGUAGCAAGGUUAACCGUAUAGGGGAGCCGCAGGGAAACCGAGUCUUAACUGGGCGUUAAGUUGCAGGGUAUAGACCCGAAACCCGGUGAUCUAGCCAUGGGCAGGUUGAAGGUUGGGUAACACUAACUGGAGGACCGAACCGACUAAUGUUGAAAAAUUAGCGGAUGACUUGUGGCUGGGGGUGAAAGGCCAAUCAAACCGGGAGAUAGCUGGUUCUCCCCGAAAGCUAUUUAGGUAGCGCCUCGUGAACUCAUCUUCGGGGGUAGAGCACUGUUUCGGCUAGGGGGUCAUCCCGACUUACCAACCCGAUGCAAACUACGAAUACCGAAGAAUGUUAUCACGGGAGACACACGGCGGGUGCUAACGUCCGUCGUGAAGAGGGAAACAACCCAGACCGCCAGCUAAGGUCCCAAAGUCAUGGUUAAGUGGGAAACGAUGUGGGAAGGCACAGACAGCCAGGAUGUUGGCUUAGAAGCAGCCAUCAUUUAAAGAAAGCGUAAUAGCUCACUGGUCGAGUCGGCCUGCGCGGAAGAUGUAACGGGGCUAAACCAUGCACCGAAGCUGCGGCAGCGACACUAUGUGUUGUUGGGUAGGGGAGCGUUCUGUAAGCCUGCGAAGGUGACCUGUGAGGGUUGCUGGAGGUAUCAGAAGUGCGAAUGCUGACAUAAGUAACGAUAAAGCGGGUGAAAAGCCCGCUCGCCGGAAGACCAAGGGUUCCUGUCCAACGUUAAUCGGGGCAGGGUGAGUCGACCCCUAAGGCGAGGCCGAAAGGCGUAGUCGAUGGGAAACAGGUUAAUAUUCCUGUACUUGGUGUUACUGCGAAGGGGGGACGGAGAAGGCUAUGUUAGCCGGGCGACGGUUGUCCCGGUUUAAGCAUGUAGGCUGGUUAUCCAGGCAAAUCCGGAUAAUCAAGGCUGAGGUGUGAUGACGAGGCACUACGGUGCUGAAGUAACAAAUGCCCUGCUUCCAGGAAAAGCCUCUAAGCAUCAGGUAACAUUAAAUCGUACCCCAAACCGACACAGGUGGUCAGGUAGAGAAUACCAAGGCGCUUGAGAGAACUCGGGUGAAGGAACUAGGCAAAAUGGUGCCGUAACUUCGGGAGAAGGCACGCUGGUGUGUAGGUGAAGUCCCUGCGGAUGGAGCUGAGACCAGUCGAAGAUACCAGCUGGCUGCAACUGUUUAUUAAAAACACAGCACUGUGCAAACACGAAAGUGGACGUAUACGGUGUGACGCCUGCCCGGUGCCGGAAGGUUAAUUGAUGGGGUUAUCCGUAAGGAGAAGCUCUUGAUCGAAGCCCCGGUAAACGGCGGCCGUAACUAUAACGGUCCUAAGGUAGCGAAAUUCCUUGUCGGGUAAGUUCCGACCUGCACGAAUGGCGUAAUGAUGGCCAGGCUGUCUCCACCCGAGACUCAGUGAAAUUGAACUCGCUGUGAAGAUGCAGUGUACCCGCGGCAAGACGGAAAGACCCCGUGAACCUUUACUAUAGCUUGACACUGAACAUUGAGCCUUGAUGUGUAGGAUAGGUGGGAGGCUUUGAAGCGUGGACGCCAGUCUGCGUGGAGCCAACCUUGAAAUACCACCCUUUAAUGUUUGAUGUUCUAACGUUGGCCCCUGACCGGGGUUGCGGACAGUGUCUGGUGGGUAGUUUGACUGGGGCGGUCUCCUCCCAAAGCGUAACGGAGGAGCACGAAGGUUAGCUAAUCCUGGUCGGACAUCAGGAGGUUAGUGCAAUGGCAUAAGCUAGCUUGACUGCGAGCGUGACGGCGCGAGCAGGUGCGAAAGCAGGUCAUAGUGAUCCGGUGGUUCUGAAUGGAAGGGCCAUCGCUCAACGGAUAAAAGGUACUCCGGGGAUAACAGGCUGAUACCGCCCAAGAGUUCAUAUCGACGGCGGUGUUUGGCACCUCGAUGUCGGCUCAUCACAUCCUGGGGCUGAAGUAGGUCCCAAGGGUAUGGCUGUUCGCCAUUUAAAGUGGUACGCGAGCUGGGUUUAGAACGUCGUGAGACAGUUCGGUCCCUAUCUGCCGUGGGCGCUGGAGAAUUGAGGGGGGCUGCUCCUAGUACGAGAGGACCGGAGUGGACGCAUCACUGGUGUUCGGGUUGUCAUGCCAAUGGCACUGCCCGGUAGCUAAAUGCGGAAGAGAUAAGUGCUGAAAGCAUCUAAGCACGAAACUUGCCCCGAGAUGAGUUCUCCCUGAGACUUUAAGUCUCCUGAAGGAACGUUGAAGACGACGACGUUGAUAGGCCGGGUGUGUAAGCGCAGCGAUGCGUUGAGCUAACCGGUACUAAUGAACCGUGAGGCUUAACCUUACAACGCCGAAG